rnacentral:rRNA from 1 species
GAUGAACGCUGGCGGCGUGCUUAAUACAUGCAAGUCGAACGGUGAAGGCGGAGCUUGCUCUGCUGGAUCAGUGGCGAACGGGUGAGUAACACGUGAGCAAUCUGCCCCUGACUCUGGGAUAAGCGCUGGAAACGGCGUCUAAUACUGGAUACGAGCUGCGAAGGCAUCUUCAGCAGCUGGAAAGAAUUUCGGUCAGGGAUGAGCUCGCGGCCUAUCAGCUUGUUGGUGAGGUAAUGGCUCACCAAGGCGUCGACGGGUAGCCGGCCUGAGAGGGUGACCGGCCACACUGGGACUGAGACACGGCCCAGACUCCUACGGGAGGCAGCAGUGGGGAAUAUUGCACAAUGGGCGAAAGCCUGAUGCAGCAACGCCGCGUGAGGGACGACGGCCUUCGGGUUGUAAACCUCUUUUAGCAGGGAAGAAGCGAAAGUGACAGUACCUGCAGAAAAAGCGCCGGCUAACUACGUG